CCCCACGCGCUCCGCGUCCCCGCCGGGGCCCGCACCGCCGCCCCGGGCGCACCGUACCUCUUCCUCCUGCAGUCUGCCACGACGGACAAGAGAACUCGAGGGACAGCGGGGACAGACCGCAACCGGUGGGCUUUUUCAAUACGCUUCCUCCACCCCACCUCAAAGGCCCUGGGCCUGGGAAACCUCUCCAGCCCACCCGACGGACUGCUCUUUCCGUGAGGCUUCCCGAAACCCCUGACCGGACUGCUGUGCCCUUUCAGAUUGUUCUGGAGCCAACUGUGUACCUGGCCGGCUCACUCUUGGGGAGCUCCUUCCUGGAACACAAGACCCUGCCCUGUUUGUCUUUUUAAUCCCACAGCUAUUUCAAUGGACUACCUGGUAUACAGUAGUUAGUUAAGUGAAUGCGCCUCGCUGCCAGCAGAUCUAGAAGGUCAACACGGACGAUCUCCCGAGAUACAAAGCACCAAGUACCCAGCAAUUGGUGUGGUUGCCCACAAACCCAGAAGCACCGCAGAGCUGCGAUUCCCUUAUGAAAUAGGACAGCCGUGCUUUUCUCUCCCAGGGUUUUAGAGAUUACAGAUUGAUAGAGUCAUAACAUUUAGCACUCUUGUUCUUGCCUGGGUUAGGUUUACUCUACAAGGAAGCUAACAUUAUUAUUAAGUUUCCAUUUUCUCUGGACCCUAGAGAGCUUUUCCAAUAGGGAGAUCAAUUAAGCUUUUAAACCUGACUGCUGCAAAGUUAAAAAUCUUAACCCCUCAGUAAAUUCUGUCUCACUUCUCACUUAGGAAUUUUCUCACAGACCAGGGGUUCUUUCGCCCACAGCACCAAUCAUGAUUUCUAAUUAUUUGCUUGCUGAACUGUUUAUCUUUUUACCCCCACUAGAAAUUCUUUACCCUGCACUGGUUUAAGUGCUGCCGGUGGUAGGGUGGAGGGGGCAGUAGGAGUUGAAGAUAAGGGCCCUGCCUUGAGGGAAUUUAAAGUGGUGUUGUGGAGACAAGAUACCCCAAACAGCUGCGCAGAGACAUAAUCCAGAAUCCUGGUUCAGAUUAUAGAAAGCGCACACACAUUUUUUUUUUUUUAAGUUUAAAGGUGCUAUGAAAAGAGUAGUGAUGCUUAGACUCACACAUUGAGUUUUUCUUGGACAUCUGGAGAUUUUGAACGUGUUUCUACAUGGAAAAAAAAAAAAAGUUUCUGUCCUUUCAUUGCUGUCAUAAUGUCAUUGCUCUCCAUGGGAACAACAGUGUAUCCGGGAAGGAAAUGAACCAAGAGUCUGUGGAAACUACAACUGAAGACAUUCGAAGCAGGGCUGAGAUCGGGAAACUUUUAGUGUAUUGAUUAUAUUAAUUAGCAGCCCUUCCCAAGGCCAGCUUUGUCCUGUUACCGGAGGAACCACGAGGGGGCAAUAUCUUCCUGAGCAAGGGCUGAGUGGUGGUCUUGGACCCCUGUGCUGGCCAGAAAUCCCAGGACUUUGCGCUUCUGGGUCAUUCUUGCCUAUCAUGAGUGCGUCCCACAGAAAGGCAUUGUUUUUCUGGAGCCUGGCAGGGACCCAAGGAAAAUGACAGUUAAUCUAGUCCUUGAUGGUUCCAGUCAGACCCCACUUAAGAGCAGAUGGAACAUGUUGUAUGAUCUCAGGAUGCUGGAAGAACUUUCCCUUCCCCCAUACAGGGGAAGGUGGCUUAAUUCCAAAUAUAGAACCUGAAUUUUUUUUUUUUUUUUUCUUUAGGCCAAACCGGGACUUUGUCCAUUGUUAAAAGUCAGAAACCUCUGGGAUAAGAAACAAAAAUAAGUUCCAUGAGAGGAGCCUUGUCUGGUUUGUUCAUUGUGUUCUCAAUCUCUAUACAAUACUUGACACAUAGGGGCCAGGGAGAUGGCUCAGUAGAAUAAGCACCUCCUUGGCAAGCACAAGGGCCUGAGUUCAAUCCCCGGUUCCACCAAAAAAAAAAAAAAAAAAAGAAAAGAAAACCUUAACACAUAGUAGGUACUCAGUUACUUUGGAAUGAAUGAUCACAUUAAGUUUUAGCAGCUACUUUUUCUUGGACUUGAACAACAUUAGAUUUACUCAAGAUCCAGGAGGAAAGAAUGGAUUAGCAGAAGUGUCUUAGAAUAGAGAGCCACAUGUCACUAGACAGGUCUUUCUUUAUUUUGCAGGAGGCAGGCCCUAAAAGAAGACCUUGAACAAAGUGAGACAAUUGAGAUUUCAAAGAAAUAAAAAGGGAACUGAUAUCAGUAUAUUGACACUUCAGACAAUAAAAUUGAUAAGCCAACAGAAUUUCUUAAAGUCUAUAGUUGGGGAGGUGAGGGUCAAUGCAGUGUUCUCAGCAGAGUAUAUGAUGGGAUAACAUGCCUGGAUGAAAGGAAUUUCUGUUUCCUGUCAUUUCCCCAAGGAAUGGUUUAGACUUAUUUGGAAGAAAAGUUGAAUAAUGUAUGACUAACAAAACCUAGGGGAAAAAAAAAUCUGUAAAUAGACCUUCAUUAUUUAUAAAACCUUGUGACUUGAGUGUGUAUGGGGGAGUAUACACAUGCACGUGUGCGUGUGUUGGGAGGGAGGACCAUACACUCAGGCCAUAAAUAAUCCUGAUGACUUGUUUACUACUUCAAAGAAAGUAAGUUUCAAAAGUGAGAUCUCUUCAGUAGCGAUAGUUUCCAGGCAUACUAAGAGUUAUAAGACAACAAAGAGAUUUUAUAUUGCGGAAAAAUUGGGCUAAUGACCAAGAAACAUCUGCCCCUCUCCCCUGUCCACUGCCCUACUAUAUUUCUGUCUGGCCUACAAGGUUACAUGCCAGAGUCAAGGGGAAACAUCAUAUGCACCUGUAGUUUUUAUUGCUCAUCACUGUUUCUCUGGCACUGUUCCUUUUGAGGCUUGCAUUAAGAAAUCCAAACCCAUAAUUAUGUCUUAAAUGUUUGUCUCUGGGAAUUGCAGACAUUAAAAGGCUAUUUUGAGGCUA